rnacentral:rRNA from 1 species
UACGUAGGGGGCAAGCGUUGUCCGGAUUUAUUGGGCGUAAAGAGCGUGUAGGCGGCUUGACAGGUCUGCUGUGAAAACUCGAGGCUCAACCUCGAGAUGUCGGCGGAAACCGUCUGGCUAGAGUCCGGAAGAGGAGAGUGGAAUUCCUGGUGUAGCGGUGAAAUGCGCAGAUAUCAGGAAGAACACCUAUGGCGAAGGCAGCUCUCUGGGACGGGACUGACGCUGAGACGCGAAAGCGUGGGGAGCGAACAGG